CAAUAGCGUAUACUAAAGUUGUUGCGAUUAAAAAGCUCGUAGUUGGAUCUCAGGCAUGGGCGCACGGUCCGCCUCGCGGCGGUCACUGUGUGUUUUGUUUCCCAUCCUACGCUUCCCGGUUAUCAGCCCAUGGUGCUCUUCACUGAGCGUUUUGGGUGGCCGGAACGUUUACUUUGAAGAAAUUAGAGUGUUCAAAGCAGGCACGUUGCCUGAAUAAUGGUGCAUGGAAUAAUGGAAUAGGACCUCGGUUCUAUUUUGCUGGUUUUCGGAACACGAGGUAAUGAUUAAGAGGGACAGACGGGGGCAUCCGUAUUGCGGUGUUAGAGGUGAAAUUCUUGGAUCAUCGCAAGACGAACAACCGCGAAAGCAUUUGCCAAGCAUGUUUUCAUUAG
rnacentral:rRNA from 1 species